rnacentral:rRNA from 1 species
AACGUAGGUGGCGAGCGUUAUCCGGAUUUACUGGGUUUAAAGGGUGUGUAGGCGGUCUUUUAAGUCUGUGGUGAAAUCUCCGGGCUCAACCCGGAAACUGCCAUUGAUACUAUUAGUCUUGAAUUCUGUUGAGGUAGGCGGAAUAAGUCAUGUAGCGGUGAAAUGCAUAGAUAUGACUUAGAACACCAAUUGCGAAGGCAGCUUGCUAAACAGAUAUUGACGCUGAGGCACGAAAGCGUGGGGAUCAAACAGG